AGUGAACGCUGGCGGUAGGCCUAACACAUGCAAGUCGAACGGCAGCACAGGAGAGCUUGCUCUCUGGGUGGCGAGUGGCGGACGGGUGAGGAAUACAUCGGAAUCUACUCUGUCGUGGGGGAUAACGUAGGGAAACUUACGCUAAUACCGCAUACGACCUACGGGUGAAAGCAGGGGAUCUUCGGACCUUGCGCGAUUGAAUGAGCCGAUGUCGGAUUAGCUAGUUGGCGGGGUAAAGGCCCACCAAGGCGACGAUCCGUAGCUGGUCUGAGAGGAUGAUCAGCCACACUGGAACUGAGACACGGUCCAGACUCCUACGGGAGGCAGCAGUGGGGAAUAUUGGACAAUGGGCGCAAGCCCGAUCCAGCCAUACCGCGUGGGUGAAGAAGGCCUUCGGGUUGUAAAGCCCUUUUGUUGGGAAAGAAAUCCAGCUGGUUAAUACCCGGUUGGGAUGACGGUACCCAAAGAAUAAGCACCGGCUAACUUCGUGCCAGCAGCCGCGGUAAUACGAAGGGUGCAAGCGUUACUCGGAAUUACUGGGCGUAAAGCGUGCGUAGGUGGUUAUUUAAGUCCGUUGUGAAAGCCCUGGGCUCAACCUGGGAACUGCAGUGGAUACUGGAUGACUAGAAUGUGGUAGAGGGUAGCGGAAUUCCUGGUGUAGCAGUGAAAUGCGUAGAGAUCAGGAGGAACAUCCAUGGCGAAGGCAGCUACCUGGACCAACAUUGACACUGAGGCACGAAAGCGUGGGGAGCAAACAGG
rnacentral:rRNA from 1 species